rnacentral:rRNA from 1 species
CCUACGGGUGGCAGCAGUGAGGAAUAUUUGUCAAUGGACGAGAGUCUGAACCAGCCAAGUAGCGUGAAGGAUGACUGCCCUAUGGGUUGUAAACUUCUUUUAUAUGGGAAUAAAAUGUUUCACGUGUGGGAUUUUGUAUGUACCUUAUGAUUAAGGCUCGUCUAACUCCGGGCCAGCAGCCGCGGUAAUCCGGAGUACCCGAGCGUUAUCCGGAUUUAUUGGGUUUAAAGGGAGCGUCGGUGGAUUGUUAAAUCAGUUGUGAAAGUUUGCGGCUCAACCGUAAAAUUGCAGUUGAAACUGGCAGUCUUGAGUACAGUAGAGGUGGGCGGAAUUCGUGGUGUAGCGGUGAAAUGCUUAGAUAUCACGAAGAACUCCGAUUGCGAAGGCAGCUCACUGGACUGCAACUGACACUGAGGCUCGAAAGUGUGGGUAUCAAACAGGAUUAGAUACCCGGGUAGUC